rnacentral:rRNA from 1 species
GUCCACGCCCUAAACUAUGUCAACUAGUUGUCGGGGAAGCAAUUCCUUGGUAACGAAGCUAACGCGUGAAGUUGACCGCCUGGGGAGUACGGUCGCAAGAUUAAAACUCAAAGGAAUUGACGGGGGCCCGCACAAGCGGUGGAUGAUGUGGAUUAAUUCGAUGCAACGCGAAAAACCUUACCUACCCUUGACAUGGCAGGAAGCCGGAUGAGAGUUCGGUGUGCUCGAAAGAGAACCUGCACACAGGUGCUGCAUGGCUGUCGU